GCCGCGAUAGCCCAGUUGGUAGAGGCGUUGGCAAUACAGAUGUCAUAAGUAGCAGGUUCAAAUCCUGCCUGCGGUG